rnacentral:rRNA from 1 species
GACGAAGGAUGCAAGCGUUAUCCGGAUUCAUUGGGUUUAAAGGGUGCGUAGGCGGACCUGUAAGUCAGUGGUGAAAUCUCUUUGCUUAACAAAGAAAACUGCCAUUGAUACUGCAAGUCUAGAGUAUAGAUGACGUUGGCGGAAUAUGACAUGUAGUGGUGAAAUACUUAGAUAUGUCAUAGAACACCGAUUGCGAAGGCAGCUAACGAAACUAUAACUGACGCUGAGGCACGAAAAGUGCGGGGGAUCAAAACAGG